GCACUGUUCUCUGACUUAGCGUGCCUUUCUCGCGAUUCCCUUCUCGUUUAUCUCAUCGAUCCAUUCCCUUCGCUCACUUGCAUCAGAGUCUACAUUUAGCACUGGAGGAUGAGUUCUAGAUUCAUUUAGGAGCUCUUUAACUCCUAAAGCUGUGCAAUCUCUAAUUUGUGCUCAAGACUGGCUUAGACGCUCAAUUCAAUAUGUUGUAGAAGAAGGUAAUGAUGAUAUUCAAAAGAUAGAACUUGAUUUGUAAAAAUUGCAUUGGAGGCAACUGUUGAUAUAUUGUAGAUGCUAGGAAAAAAUACUUGAUUGUUGGUGACUUGGUGUUGGUGGCAAGUUGCAUGCAAGGAAUUGAGCACAAGGAUUAGCUGGAAUUAGUUGUAAUUUUAAAUUUCACAUGUUAUGCUAUUAGUAUUUGGUUGGUUUGUUUGGAUUUUAACUAUAUUUGGAUUUUUUUGGCUAUUGGUUUGUAUGUUCUUAUAGAUUGAUGCUUGAAAGAGGUUGAUUAUUAUUUAUUCUAUUAUUAUGUAUUUAUGUUUU